ACGGGGCGCAGCAGGCGCGAAACCUCCGCAAUGCACGCAAGUGCGACGGGGGGACCCCAAGUGCCACUCUUAACGGGGUGGCUUUUCAGGAGUGUAAAAAGCUCCUGGAAUAAGGGCUGGGCAAGACCGGUGCCAGCCGCCGCGGUAACACCGGCAGCUCGAGUGGUAGCCGCGUUUAUUGGGCCUAAAGCGUCCGUAGCCGGUCCGAUAAGUCNNUGGUGAAAGCCCACAGCUUAACUGUGGGAAUCGCUGGAGAUACUAUCGGACUUGAGGCCGGGAGAGGCUGGAGGUACUCCCAGGGUAGGGGUGAAAUCCUAUAAUCCUGGGAGGACCACCUGUGGCGAAGGCGUCCAGCUGGAACGGACCUGACGGUGAGGGACGAAAGCCAGGGGCGCGAACCGGAUUAGAUACCCGGGUAGUCCUGGCCGUAAACGAUGCGGACUUGGUGUUGGGACGGCUUUGAGCUGUCCCAGUGCCGAAGGGAAGCUGUUAAGUCCGCCGCCUGGGAAGUACGGCCGCAAGGCUGAAACUUAAAGGAAUUGGCGGGGGAGCAAGGCUGAAACUUAAAGGAAUUGGCGGGGGAGCACGGGAGCAAGGAAUUGGCGGGGGAGCAAGGCUGAAACUUAAAGGAAUUGGCGGGGGAGCAAGGCUGAAACUUAAAGGAAUUGGCGGGGGAGCAAGGCUGAAACUUAAAGGAAUUGGCGGGGGAGCAAGGCUGAAACUUAAAGGAAUUGGCGGGGGAGCAAGGCUGAAACUUAAAGGAAUUGGCGGGGGAGCAAGGCUGAAACUUAA
rnacentral:rRNA from 1 species